rnacentral:rRNA from 1 species
UACAUGGGGUGCAAACGUUGCUCGGAAUUAUUGGGCGUAAAGCGCGCGUAGGCGGUUACUCAAGUCGGAUGUGAAAGCCCUCGGCUUAACUGAGGAAGUGCACCCGAAACUGAGUAGCUAGAGUACUAAAGAGGGUCGCGGAAUUCCCGGUGUAGAGGUGAAAUGCGCAGAUAUCAGGAGGAACACCGAUUGCGAAGGCAGCUCGCUGGGACGUAACUGACGCUGAGGCACGAAAGCUAGGGGAGCAAACAGG